AAGCGGCUCAGUAAUGUUGAUCAUAUCUUUGCUUCUGUGCGAUGCUCCUUCGACUUCCCUAUUGACAUACCUCAUAAUCUUCAUCCAUAUUGAAUUCCAGAUGAGGUAGUCCUCUCACCAAUUCUCUUCUUACGAAUCGAAAGAGAAUCACCCUGUAGACUGUAGACUCCAUUGAGUAGCCGAGGAAAAUAUUCUUUGAGCUUCAAAUGCAAGACUUGCAAAGAGGCAUUUUCCUCCAAACACAUACCAAGAGUUAGUGUUUGCUUCUGAUUGGCCACUGGAAAGAAUGGUGUCUUUCUGGAUUUAUCAAUGAUCAGGGUUCAUCUUGAUCAACCUUCAUUUGUGACGUCUUGUCCUUCGAACACAUACGAACAACACGAAAGAAUCUAGAGUAGUCAAUGAUCAUCGCAAAAAGAUAUCUAGCUUUGUUUGCAGACAUGACAUUAACUGAUCCGUAGAAAUCCAUACGUAUCAUCUGAAGCGGCUCAGUAAUGUUGAUCAUAUCUUUGCUUCUGUGCGAUGCUCCUUCGACUUCCCUAUUGACAUACCUCAUAAUCUUCAUCCAUAAUGAAUUCCAGAUGAGGUAGUCCUCUCACCAAAUCUCUUCUUACUAAUAAAAAGAGCUCCUUGUUUUGACAUACAAGUUUGAGAGCUUCAAGUGCCAUAGCUAAUACUCAU
rnacentral:lncRNA from 1 species